UUUCAUCACACCAUGGUUCUUCACGUGAGAAAUAAACCUAAGUGAAGAUUUUAGAAAUUUCUCUUUUUCAUCUUCAUCGACACCCUAAACUUAAACGCUCUUUUCAUCGGCGGCACCCUCCCCCUGAUCUUCUUCUCUCCCUUUUAUCCUUUUUGAUCCCUAAGUCUUCUUUGAGUGUGAUUUUUAGGUAUAAUUGACCAACUACUUUGUUUUGUUUGUUGCAGAAUUUAAUGAAAUUCAAGGGUUUGUAGUCGCUGUUGGGUGAAUGAAUUGAACAGGGAACUGAAUUUCCUCCAUGAAAUAGGUUGAGGAAGAAUUGGUUUCUCAAAAUUAGGGUUCUGAUUUUUCUUUUACAGAAGUAGGUAGAUAUGUACAUAUUACUGAAUUAAGGUUUGUAGAUAGAAUAUAAUCAUGUCCACUACAGGUACUGUAUCUGUUCAGUUCCACCCAAUUGCUAAAAUUUGUGGUUCUGAAAAUGAUAAUUCAGUGUGAUACAUCCAUAAUUGGAGUUUCCAAGGAGCAAAUUUCUCAGAUUCAAUCUUUGCUCAACCGAUAAUACUCGCAAGGGAUGUAUUGGGAGAGUAAGUGAUGUACCAGAAGAUGAAGAUUUUUUUUUUGGGAGAAAGCGUUAACGCCUUUACUUCAUAUGGUUGAGACUCCGGCGCAUUUGAAGAAUUUGUCUAUCAAGGUUUUGGUUUAUGAAUUUUUAGAAUUUUUAAGUCUGGAGCUAUGUAGGUUAAAGUUCUUUUACUAACUAGAGAUGAUUACGAUGUAUGAGUUAAAACAAUUAGCUGAUGAGAUCCGUUCAGAGUUAUCUUUUAUAACGUCGAAGAUGCCUCGACACUUCAAAGCCAGUCUAGCAACAGUGGAGCUGACCGUUGUGUUACAUCAUGUUUUUGAUUCUCCAACGAAUAAGAUAUUGUGGGAUGUGGGUCAAUAGGAUUUGAGUUGGGUUUGUAUGGAUAGCAACAUGGCCUGAACUGGUCAUGAUAUCAUGACAAUGCAUCUAUGUAUAAGGUAUGGUCCCUUUUAGCACGCUGGUCACUUAAUGAUAUCACGAGCUCGCACUUUGAAUGGCGGGAGUUCCAAUACCUCGCGUAUAGCCUUAUAGCUAAGCAAUAACAUCUUUCGUACUUUAAUUAUUUCAAGAUAUGUAAAUGUGAUAUGUUGUAAUGAGAAGACAGCUCAUAUGCGCAAUAACAAGUCAUCCUUAACUAAUUUGCUUAUAUCUCCAUAUUUAAAAGUACGAGACAUGUCGAGACCAGCGUGAAAAUCCUAAGUUGCUUAAAUGUAGCUGAUCGGUUUCUAGAAAAACUUCAAUCACUGAAUUGUAAGUUGGACACAAUGACUUCUUGGUUAGACUCAUUUUUUACUUUCAUUUAGUCUUAAUUGAUUCAUAUUUUUUGGCGAAAAACAAAAAGGUUACUUUAUUCUAUUUAAAUGACAUAUGCUUAAAUGAGUUCUAGGGUAGAUCUUAGGUAUAAUGUUAUCAUUGUUGGAGUACUUUGACUCUUAGAAGUUAGAACUUGGAUUCAAUUUUUUUUACUGGAAAUCAUAUUUUUCCUUACAAUCUCAUUACCUCAACUUGACAACUUUGACGCAUAAGUGCAGUUCAUUUACACAACCUGAAUGAUAUAGAUUAAUGAAGAAUCAACUCUGCAGCAAGUGAAGCAGCUUACAACAAGCAUAUCCAGUGCUCUAAGAAAAAGAUUGAGCUUGGAUUUAAAAUCAGAACGGGCCUAAUGGUUCGUGCUACGUACUAUGGAAUCAGAAAUGAUAAUUUGGGGAACAAGGAUGGAGCUGAUGCUGAAGAUAAUGAUAUUGGAAUAGAAAGUGAAAAAGCGGGGGUCUAACAAUACCACUCAAUAUUUCGCUUAGCAAUCUGUAUGGACUAACUCCGAAAUACUUUGCUAGAGAAUCAACUAGACAGUCAGACUCAAUCUAGAUUAAAGUAUC